GUUUAGACUGGGCUGCAGACGGGCUCCUGCGGCAAUGACUCCCAUCAAGUUGCUGUUGCAGCCAACGCAGAGGCCAGAAGGCCGCACCUAUGCCGAAUUCGAGUCCGUGAACGAAUGCAUGGAAGGCAUCUGUAAGAUGUACGAAGAGCACCUGAAGAGGUUGAACCCCUUCAGCCAGUUCAUCACCUAUGGCGUCAGUCAGCUGUUUGAGUUUAUCGACCGUCUGGUAGACCUCAGCUGCCUGGUGUUCAGCGAAGAAACGCAGACAUACAAGCCUUAUGGCCGAGAGUGGAUCAAAGAGAGGAUCUACAUGCUUCUCAGUCAGCAGGCACAACUAGAUGCGUCCGAGUGAUCUUCUAGAAGUUUCUGGGGCUGUCCUGGACCGCAGGGAACAUUUCUGAUCAAAGCGGCAGGAGCAAGCAGUAGCUAUGAGCCAUUUUCCAUGGAAGGCUGCCCCUAACCUGUGAAUAACUUCUCUUCACAUGAGCUUUGAGAAUAUUUGUCCUUGACUUUUUUUUUUGUCACCUGCCAAUAAAAUUUAAAACAAAUCAUUGUAAAAGAAUCACUUUAAACUGUU